GACAGAGGGUGCAAACGUUGUUCGGAAUUACUGGGCGUAAAGCGCGUGUAGGCUGCUUGGAAAGUCGGAUGUGAAAGCCCUGGGCUCAACCCAGGAAGUGCACUCGAAACUGACCGGCUUGAAUAUGGAAGGGGGUUGCGGAAUUCCCGGUGUAGAGGUGAAAUUCGUAGAUAUCGGGAGGAACACCAGUGGCGAAGGCGGCAACCUGGGCCAAUAUUGACGCUGAGGAGCGAAAGCGUGGGGAGCGAACAGG
rnacentral:rRNA from 1 species